CUCACUUGAAAAUUUUCAGAUGAAUUUCAUGUGAGAUUCAUGUGAGAUUCACGUGAGCAAAUUGUGCUUGUGUAUCAUAGAAAUUAACAACUAUAGGUCACCGUACGGCCUUCAACAAUGAGCAAAGCCCAUACCGCAUAGUCAGCAAUAAAAGGCCCCGAAAUGACAAAUGUAAAACAAAUAAAACAAAAAAACUAACGGCAUGAUUUAUGUACAAAAUAAUGAACGAAAAACAAAUAUGAUAUACAGCAACAAACGACAACCACUGAAUUACAGACUCCUGACUUGGGAUAGGCACAUACACAAUGUGUUAAACAUUCUUAUUGAUAAGUUAUGAUUUUAAGUUACUUUAAUAAAAAAAAAAACACACGAAAUACACUACCAUUAGUAGGAAGAGAGAGCCAGUUGUAUAAAGAGGAAUAACUCUUAGCUUUAUUCAACUGAACAAACAAAAAACAAAAAACUUUAUCAACAUGUAACAUUUAUAUGAUUACCAGUCACAAAUACACAAUGACAGAUAAUGUAUAUUUCUAAUGAGAUUCUCUCCUCACUUCAAAGAUUUUGAUAAAUAGUCACCCAUGGAAAUAUUGAAAUCUAUAUCUCAGACUGUAUCGGUCAUCAUACAAAUUGAUAAAGCUUGGACAUUUAGAAUGGACACUUUGGGAAACCUUGUGACAAUAUUGUAGAUUAAAAUCUUUACAAGCAGAUAAACCAAUAUUCAAUUUCUCACCAUUAACAAGAGGCUCUCAAGAGCCUGAAUCGCUCACCUGUAUUUCAGAGGAGAAGAUUUUUAAAUGUUAGCAAACUUGAUGAACAAAUUGUGUAAAAUUGUCUUUAAAGGGCAAUAACUCCUUAAGGGGUCAAUUCACAAUUUUGGUCAUAUCAACUUUUUUGUAGAUCUUACUUUGCUGAACAUUAUUGCUGCUUACAGUUUAUAUAUAUCUAUAAUAAUAUUCAAAAUAAUAACAAAAAACUGCAAAAUUUUGUUAAAACUACCAAUUCGGUGGCAGCAACCCAACUAUGGGUUGUUCGAUUCGUCUGAUAAUUUCAGGGCCGAUAGAUCUUGACCAAUUAAACAAUUUUACUCCUGUCACAUUUGCUCUAAAAGAUUUAGUUUUUGAGAUAUAAGCCAAAAACUGCAUUUGACCCUUAUGUUCUAUUUUUAGCCAUGGCAGCCAUGUUUGUCGAUGGAUACAAACUUCGGAUACAAUUUAUAAACAAGAUACCAUAAGAAACAUUUAGUUAAAGUUUGAAGGUAAUUGGCCCAGUAGUUUCAGAGGAGAAGAUUUUUAAAUGUUAGCAAACUUGAUGAACAAAUUGUGUAAAAUUGUCUUUAAAGGGCAAUAACUCCUUAAGGGGUCAAUUGAAAAUUAUGGUCAUUUAACUUUUUUGUAGAUCUUACUUUGCUGAAUAUUAUUGCUGCUUACAGUUUAUAUAUAUCUAUAAUAAUAUUCAAAAUAAUAACAAAAAACUGCAAAAUUUUGUUAAAACUACCAAUUCGGUGGCAGCAACUCAACAAUGGGUUGUUCGAUUCGUCUGAAAAUUUCAGAGCUGAUAGAUCUUGACCAAUUGAACAAUUUUACCCCUUGUCAGAUUUGCUCUAAAAGCUUUAGUUUUUAGAUAUAAGCCAAAAACUGCAUUUGACCCCUAUGUUCUAUUUUUAGCCAUGGCGGCCAUGUUUGUCGAUGGAUCAAAAUUUCGGAUACAAUUUAUAAACUAGAUACCCUAAGGAACAUUUAGUUAAAGUUUGAAGGUAUUUGGCCCAGUAGUUUCAGAGGAGAAGAUUUUUGAAAUAGUUUACGACGAUAGACGACGACAGACGACGGACGACGACGGACGCCAAGUGAUGGCAUAAGC